GAUCCUGGCUCAGAUUGAACGCUGGCGGCAGGCCUAACACAUGCAAGUCGAACGGUAACAGGAAACAGCUUGCUGUUUCGCUGACGAGUGGCGGACGGGUGAGUAAUGUCUGGGAAACUGCCUGAUGGAGGGGGAUAACUACUGGAAACGGUAGCUAAUACCGCAUAAUGUCGCAAGACCAAAGAGGGGGGACCUUCGGGCCUCUUGCCAUCGGAUGUGCCCAGAUGGGAUUAGCUAGUAGUGGGG
rnacentral:rRNA from 1 species